GGCGAACGCUGGCGGCGUGCUUAACACAUGCAAGUCGAACGAUGAACCCGGAGCUUGCUCUGGGGGAUUAGUGGCGAACGGGUGAGUAACACGUGAGUAACCUGCCCUGGACUCUGGGAUAAGCGUUGGAAACGACGUCUAAUACCGGAUAGGACCUUGGAUCGCAUGAUCUGGGGUGGAAAGUUUUUUCGGUCUGGGAUGGACUCGCGGCCUAUCAGCUUGUUGGUGAGGUAAUGGCUCACCAAGGCGUCGACGGGUAGCCGGCCUGAGAGGGUGACCGGCCACACUGGGACUGAGACACGGCCCAGACUCCUACGGGAGGCAGCAGUGGGGAAUAUUGCACAAUGGGCGAAAGCCUGAUGCAGCAACGCCGCGUGCGGGAUGACGGCCUUCGGGUUGUAAACCGCUUUUAGUAGGGAAGAAGGGCUUCGGCUUGACGGUACCUGCAGAAAAAGGACCGGCUAACUACGUG
rnacentral:rRNA from 1 species